UGAAGUAAGUAAGGGCGUACGGUGAAUGCCUUGGUGCCAACAGGCGAAGAAGGACGCGGCAAGCUGCGAAAAUCCUCGGGAAGCUGCAAGCAAGCGAUGAUCCGGGGGUAUCCGAAUGGGGUAACCUGAUCGAGGCAAUACUCGAUCGUUCAUACCUGAAUACAUAGGGUAUGAAACGCGAAACCCGCUGAAGUGAAACAUCUCAGUAAGCGGAGGAAAAGAAAGAGAAAUCGAUUCCGUAAGUAGUGGCGAGCGAAAGCGGAUGGAGCCCAAACCGAAGGUACUCCUUCGGGGUUGUAGGACCACGAGAUAUUCGACCAUACUGGAUAGUAGAACAGCCUGGAAAGGCUGGCCGUAGAAGGUGAAAGCCCUGUAGACGAAAUCCAGCGUGGGAAUUAGUGGGAUCCUGAGUAAUACAUCACACGUGGAACGAUGUAUGAAUCAGCGCGGACCACCGCGCAAGGCUAAAUACUAGUUGGCGACCGAUAGUGAACAAGUACCGCGAGGGAAAGGUGAAAAGAACCGCUGUGAGCGGAGUGAAAUAGAACCUGAAACCGUAUGUCUACAAAGUGUCAGAGCAGAGCAAUCUGCGAUGGCGUGCCUUUUGUUUAAUGAGUCUGCGAGUCAGUGUUUGUGGCAAGACUAAGGGCUUCCGGCCCGGAGUCGCAGCGAAAGCAAGUCCGAAUAGGGCGAAUUAAGUCGCAGGUACUGGACCCGAAGCGGAGGUGACCUACCCUUGGCCAGGUUGAAGCAUGGGUAAAACCAUGUGGAGGACCGAACAGGUGAACGUUGAAAAGUUCUCUGAUGAGCUGAGGGUAGGAGUGAAAGGCUAAUCAAACCCCGUGAUAGCUGGUUCUCUUCGAAAUGCAUUUAGGUGCAGCGUCACGUGCUGAUGCGCGGGGGUAGAGCACUGACAAGGCUAGGGGGCACACCCGCUUACCAAACCUUAUCAAACUCCGAAUACCGUGCAAUGGAACGUGGCAGUGAGACAGUGGGGGAUAAGCUUCAUUGUCGAGAGGGAAACAACCCAGACCAGCAGCUAAGGUGCCUAAAUAACGCUCAGUGGAAAGGAUGUGGGAUUACACAGACAGUGAGGAUGUUGGCUUAGAAGCAGCCACCAUUUAAAAAAUGCGUAAUAGCUUACUCAUCGAGUGAUCCUGCGCCGAAAAUGAUUGGCGAUCAAGCGUUAUACCGAAGCUCUGGACUUUACCUUACGGUAGAGUGGUAGAAGAGCGUUGCAUGCGCGUUGAAGGGUGAUGGCGACUGACCCUGGAGCACAUGCAAGUGAGUAUGCAGACAUGAGUAACGUAAAGCCGGGUGAAAUCCCCGGCCGCCGUAAACCCGAGGUUUCCAGGGCAACGUGUUUCGUCCCUGGGUUAGCCGGGACCUAAGCCGAGGCCGAGAGGCGUAGGCGAUGGAUAUCAGGUUAAUAAUCCUGAGCUCGCGACCCUUAAACUGGGGGGACGCAUGAGAAAAGAUGACUAGGUUAUUGAAUUCCGAGUUGAGUCCACGGACUCAGCGCAUCAUUGGAUCGAGUGCCAAGAAAAGCCCCAGCGUAUGCUAAGCGACCCGUACCGCAAACCGACACAGGUGGGUGGGUAGAAUAUACCAAGGCGUAAGAGUGAAACCUGGUUAAGGAACUCGGCAAAUUAGCCCCGUAACUUCGGAAGAAGGGGUGCCUGCAGCGAUGCAGGCCGCAGAGAAAUGGCCCAACCGACUGUUUAUCAAAAACACAGCACUCUGCAAAGACGCAAGUCGAAGUAUAGGGUGUGACACGUGACCAAUGCCGAAAGAUUAAGGCAAGGGGUUAGCCGCAAGGCGAAGCUCUGAACCCAAGUCCCGGUGAAUGUCGGCCGUAACUAUAACGGUCCUAAGGUAGCGAAAUUCCUUGUCGGGUAAGUUCCG
rnacentral:rRNA from 1 species